UUCCGAACUCGACACUUCAUCCUUGAGGUGAGUUAUAAAAUGUCAGUAAUCAAUGAGUUUGACAUGACCGAGCUGUCACAUAUAAUGGUCAUUCACUACAAUUUCUUUUUGGAACCGGGUUGGUAUGUGAAGUUACAUACUUUUAUUUUAUCUCUUGUGAAUUUUUUUUUGGAAAAAACAACGGAUAAAAAAAUAUUUUGGAUAUAAAGUUUGUAGAUUUUAAUCCUUGUUUACAAAACAAAAUGAGAAGCGUAUAAAUUAAUCAUUUACCUCCACACACUACAGUAAAAAUUAAUCAAUGUUACUGAUGAAU
rnacentral:lncRNA from 1 species